CUGGAGGUCGUCGCUGAUCUGACAGGCUGCUCUCCCCGACACCGUGUCCCUUCUUGCACUACAACUCCAAGUUUAAAAUAUGUUUCGCACUGCAGCCAGCACCUGCAAUAACGGAGAAAACACUCGCUGGGGAUCCUCCAACAUACCUUUCACCCGCUGGCUCCCUGCUGAGUAUGAGGAUGGCAUCUCUCUGCCUAAAGGCUGGAACCCUAAACUGAGAGUCAACAAACAUUUUCUUCCAUUGGUAAGGGAAGUGUCCAACCAAAUUCUGCGCACAGCUAACUCUGAUGUGGAGAGCGACCCUCUCUACACUCACCUGUGACA